AGAGCGAACGCUGGCGGCAGGCCUAAUACAUGCAAGUCGAACGGACCCUUCGGGGUUAGUGGCGGACGGGUGAGUAACACGUGGGAACGUGCCCUUUGGUUCGGAACAACUCAGGGAAACUUGAGCUAAUACCGAAUGUGCCCUUCGGGGGAAAGAUUUAUCGCCAUUGGAGCGGCCCGCGUCUGAUUAGCUAGUUGGUGGGGUAAAGGCUCACCAAGGCUACGAUCAGUAGCUGGUCUGAGAGGAUGAUCAGCCACACUGGGACUGAGACACGGCCCAGACUCCUACGGGAGGCAGCAGUAGGGAAUCUUGCGCAAUGGGCGAAAGCCUGACGCAGCCAUGCCGCGUGAAUGAUGAAGGUCUUAGGAUUGUAAAAUUCUUUCAGCGGGGACGAUAAUGACGGUACCCGCAGAAGAAGCCCGGCUAACUUCGCGCCAGCAGCCGC
rnacentral:rRNA from 1 species